CGGUCCAGACUCCUACGGGAGGCAGCAGUGGGGAAUAUUGCACAAUGGGCGCAAGCCUGAUGCAGCCAUGCCGCGUGUGUGAAGAAGGCCUUCGGGUUGUAAAGCACUUUCAGCGGGGAGGAAGGCGGUGAGGUUAAUAACCUCACCGAUUGACGUUACCCGCAGAAGAAGCACCGGCUAACUCCGUGCCAGCAGCCGCGGUAAUACGGAGGGUGCAAGCGUUAAUCGGAAUUACUGGGCGUAAAGCGCACGCAGGC
rnacentral:rRNA from 1 species